rnacentral:rRNA from 1 species
AUUGAACGCUGGCGGCAUGCCUUACACAUGCAAGUCGAACGGUAACGGGCCUUCGGGUGCCGACGAGUGGCGAACGGGUGAGUAAUACAUCGGAACGUGCCCGAUCGUGGGGGAUAACGAGGCGAAAGCUUUGCUAAUACCGCAUACGAUCUACGGAUGAAAGCAGGGGACCGCAAGGCCUUGCGCGGACGGAGCGGCCGAUGGCAGAUUAGGUAGUUGGUGGGAUAAAAGCUUAACAAGCCGACGAUCUGUAGCUGGUCUGAGAGGAUGAUCAGCCACACUGUGACUGAGACACGGCCCAGACUCCUACGGGAGGCAGCAGUGGGGAAUUUUGGACAAUGGGCGCAAGCCUGAUCCAGCCAUGCCGCGUGCAGGAUGAAGGCCUUCGGGUUGUAAACUGCUUUUGUACGGAACGAAAAGCCUUCUUUUAAUACAGGAGGGUCAUGACGGUACCGUAAGAAUAAGCACCGGCUAACUACGUG